GGGCCCGUAGCUCAGCUAGGUAGAGCGGCGGACCAUGUAGAAAGGCCGAAGCUCCAGCAGCUACGGGUCUUAUGACCGUAUGGGAUGAAAUAAUGCUGGAGCGUUGAAGAGAUUGGAGAGACCCGUAGGUCGGGGGUUCGAAUCCCCCCGGGCCCA
rnacentral:tRNA from 1 species